UUAAGCAUAUCAAUAAGCGGAGGAAAAGAAACUAACAAGGAUUCCCCUAGUAACGGCGAGUGAAGCGGGAUGAGCUCAAAUUUAAAAUCUGGCGGCCUCAGGUCGUCCGAGUUGUAGUCUAGAGAAUCGUUUUCCGCGUUGGCCUGUGUACAAGUCCCUUGGAACAGGGCGUCAUAGAGGGUGAGAAUCCCGUCCUUGACACAGACUACCAAUGCUUUGUGAUGCGAUCUCGAAGAGUCGAGUUGUUUGGGAAUGCAGCUCAAAAUGGGUGGUAAAUUCCAUCUAAAGCUAAAUAUUGGCGAGAGACCGAUAGCGAACAAGUACCGUGAGGGAAAGAUGAAAAGCACUUUGGAAAGAGAGUUAAACAGUACGUGAAAUUGUUAAAAGGGAAACGAUUGAAGUCAGUCAUGCUUUCCGAGACUCAGCCGAUUCUGUCGGUGUACUUCUCGGUUGGCAGGCCAGCAUCAGUUUCGAUCUGUGGAAAAGGUUGGAGGGAACGUGGCAUCCUCGGAUGUGUUAUAGCCCUUCUUCGAAUACAUAGAGCGGGACUGAGGAACGCAGCGCGCCUUUUAUUAGGUUGGCCCUCGGGUACAUACGCGCUUAGGAUGCUGGCAUAAUGGCUUUAAACGACCCG
rnacentral:rRNA from 1 species